rnacentral:snRNA from 1 species
GUGCUGGCUUCAGCAGCACAUAUACUAAAAUGGGAGUGAUAACAGAAGAUUAGCAUGGCUCCCACCCAAGGAUGGGUAGUAUUUGACAGCAAAUAUUUACUUGUAA